GCACCAUAGUAUGUGGCAUUAUCUUGUCUAACCCCCUUUAUAGCUCUCCUGGAUGAUGGUAACAGCCUGUCUGCUUUCUAGUCUCUUGUCUUGCCUCGUCUAGCCCAGUUUCUACAUUGUCACUGGAAUCACCUUUUCUGAAAAACAAAUCUGAAGAGAGUUGGGAUUCUGAGGCCUAGCUGUGAACACUGUGCCUGUGACUGCCUUGCCUUUGGGGAGACAGGAAGACCUCUGGGCUGCAUGUCAGGAACUGCUCUUCUUAAAAUCCAGAGGACUUCUGUAGCAUCGCCAGCGGCCCUCCUCAGACUUAGUGACACGUCCUGAUUGCUGAGACUGAUUUGUGUCCUUUUCUUAACAGAGCCAAGUGGGCACGUGUCCAAGGCCUGAGGCUUCCGGCGUGUAUCUCAUUGUCUCUCAGUAGAGUGUGGCACCUACGUGGAUGGGGAAAGAACAUCAGAUGUGGGGUCAGGUGUCCUGGUUUCUUGCUUGGCUCUCAUUUAUUAGCCAUGGGAGGUUGGGGAAGUCAUUCAGCCUCCCUCUCCCUUCAUUCCCUCAUCUGUAAAAUGGCAGUGAAAUUUACUUAUCUCAAAGGACUGUGUGAGGAUCAAGAUUAUGGACAAGACCGUGCUUUAUAAACAACAAAGCCAAAUAAUUCCAAGCAGCUUUAUCACAUUUUCCAUGAAUCUUUUCUGUGAAUCCCCCUUUCUUCUUUCCCAUAUCCUUUUCAUGGUAGACACAUGUUGAUUGCUCAUCCAGUAUCCUCUCUUCCUUCUUUUGGAACAGUACCCUGAUCCUUUUUGGGGAAUCUCUUGGGCCAUGUGGAUUGUUCAAAUCUCUCCCAUCCUACAACUCCAGGGGCAGGCCCACAAUCCAGUCCUGACCAAGCAGAAUAUUUUAUCCCUCUGGCCAUACAGUCAGUUGCAAGGAUUGCCAUGUGUCCCAGCUUGGCCCAAUCGACCGUUCCUGGGGCUUUUGCUGGAAUUCCUGGGAAGAACUUUGCCUUCCUUGCCAGAAUUGCCGAACUUGGAGAUGUAAGAUUGGUGGGGGCCACCUUUGCCAUCUUAUGGGGAGAGACUCCAACUACAGGAAAGCAGAAUGGAAAGCUGGAGUAAGAUAUGUCCUCUUAAAAUUGCUAGAGCCCCAGGACCCAGCCAUGCCUGAUUUCAUUGUGAAUGAGGUGGAUUAGCAUUUCAUUUUGAUUUUUCUAACAGACUGUUGGUGUUUUUCUCAUAGAUUUUAAGGAAAUUCUUUUGCUAUCUUUUUUCUUUCUUUCUUUUUUUUUUUUUUUUUACUGAACUGAAAUACACAGAACAUAAAAUUAGCCAUUUUCAAGUAUGCAAUUCAGUAGCAUUUAGUACAUUUACAGUGUUGUGCAACCAUCACUUCUAUCUAGUUCCAAAAAAUUUUCAUCAUCACCAAAUUGGAUCUGUUAAGCAGUUUCUCCCCAUUCCCAAUUUCCCUGAGUCCUUGGAAACCGUUAAUCUGCUUUCUAUCUCUAUGGGUUUAUUUAUUCUGGAUAUUUCAUAUAAAUGGACUCAUACAAUAUAUGACCUUUUGUGUCUGC
ensembl:lncRNA